rnacentral:tRNA from 2 species
GGGAGCAUAGUUUAAUUUUGGUAAAACGUAUGUUUUGCAUAUAUAAGAUUAUGGGUUCGAAUCCCAUUGUUUCCA